rnacentral:tRNA from 1 species
GGUCGGAUAGCUCAGCAGGUAGAGCAGAGGACUGAAAAUCUCGUGUCACCAGUUCAAAUCUGGUUCUGACAC